UGCAAUUUGGCUACAAGCCUUUUUGAAAUAAAAGCAUAAAGAGUUUUAGGAAGAUCCAUCUCAGGCAUAGCAAAAAGUGUCUACCUAAUUAUGCUAACCUAGAGUGCAGCACACCUCAUCUUCCUAGGCAUGGAUCAUCUUAGACUACUUUAGCAGACAUGAAUAAUAAAUAGCAUGCUCAAAGUUUAAACAUCGUAAAAGAAUUUUUCAUUGAUAAUAAGAAUUUAAACAAGCUACCAAAAAAUUAAAAGAGUAAGAACUACAAUGCCCUGAUACAUUGCUAGGGCUUCAUCCAGCCCUAGACUAGGUGUU
rnacentral:lncRNA from 1 species